rnacentral:rRNA from 1 species
ACUCAAAUGAAUUGACGGGGACUUGCACAAGCAGUGGAUUAUGUGGUUUAAUUCGAUGGUAAACGAAAAACCUUACCCGGGUUUGAAACCUAGCUGAAUAUCUUAGGAAACUUUGAUAGCCUUCACGGGCAGUUAGGCAGGUGUUGCAUGGCCGUCGUCAGUUCGUGGUUUGAAUUGUUCCCUUAAGUGGGGUAACGAACGCAACCCUCGUUGUCUGUUACAAGUGUCAGGCGAGACUGCCCCCCAUUAUCUUCGUGAGCUCAGUGUAAAAACUGGGGCUCGUGAGAAUAAUGGGGGGAGGAAGGCGAGGAUAACGCCAGGUCAGCAUGACCCUCUGAUAUCCGGGGCUACACACAUAAUACAAUCGCUCUUACAACGCGUCGCGACGGAGUAAUCCUGAGCCAAUCGUAAUAAAGAGGGCGCCAGUUCGGAUUGGGGGCUGCAACUCGACCCCAUGAAGCCGGAAUUGCUAGUAAUCGCAGGUCAGCUAUACUGCGGUGAAUACGUUCUCAAGUCUUGUACACACCGCCCGU